CCUCGCCCGUGCGCCUCCCAAUCGGGAUUCCUUGCUGAAGGAAAGUCAGGGAAUACUAUUUUUGUGACACUUUUGAGCUUUCGUGGCCCGUCCGCUCUGAGAUGGAUGAAUAGGACUUGGCUUCGUGAAGAAGUUGGAUCGAGCGCCUCCCGGCUCGCCGCCCGGACAUCUGCACGAGGCGUGCUGUUGCUCGCUGCAACGAAAGCCCGCGCGGCCUCCAGUGGGGACGGCGGCCCCCGGUGCGGAGGGCGACAAGGCGCGGAAAGGCCCGUCCCUCCCCUACGCAGUUGGAGAUCCGGUGGGGGAAGCUGCUGUCCUCGGAGCCGGCCAACGCCGCGGUCGUGGUGCUGACCAGCGCGCUCGCCUGGGCGAGUGACAGCUGAGGGCCUCCCCCGAGCGGCGGCCGAUGGCCUCUUCCCUGUACAGGUGCGAGCCGGAUCUAGGGUACCUCCUCCCACUUCCGGCGCCCUCAUUUCCUGGCGUGAUUAUAUUUUGUCCCCUGAUUUGAUGACCUGGACUCUUCUCCGCCUUCCUCCCUCGACGUUGCCUCGUCCAUGCCCUCCACGCCGGCGGUUCCAACACCAGGUACAUUGCCCAACGCAAGGAAUGCAAUGCUGGAAACUCUCUCUUGUGACGUACAAAUCAGAAAUAUUUGACUAGGACUUAUGCAGUUUUUGAGGAGAGUAAACUUCGAUUAUGCUGAGUCACUACUGAUGCUCACAUUAGACUGUGACUGAAAGAAAUUAUUUUUUCCUUUAGUUCUUAUUCAUGAUCGAAAUCAACCAGUGAAGUAUCAUUCCAAAGAUAUACACAAGUUUUUGUUGACGUGAUUCAAUUAUACAGAACUUCAAAAAUGCAGCGGCCAAUAAUUACUGGAUAGUUUUGGAUGUUCUCCUUGGUAGAUGACUGUUAUGUACAGCCUCAGGAUGAACUUUUAAACUAAGCCGGUAGAGAAAUGCUUUUGCGUUGACAAUAAUCUGCCUUGUUCAUUCAAAGGUCGAAUUUAUGAAGGGACCUCUCACUUUUAUCUUCAUUAUCUUUGUCAUUGAACGUCAAUUCAUUCGUAUUUUACAGAUGCUAACCAAUUGACAAGAAAAAAAUCUUUACAAUCCUUUAUUGUUACCCAAAUGGCUUUCCACUAUAUCAAACUAAUAGUGUUGAUCAGUAAAUCCUGGAUACAAUAUAAUUGGUAUUUUUAUUCAUUCAAUACCUGUUGCACUGAAUACAAAAAUGGUGCAUUUUGAUCACGGCAUAUCAUAUUGUGAUUGGCUUCUUCAUCACCCUAUAUGACUGAUUAUUUCACAUUGUUGCAAGCCAUGUCUUGUAGCCUGUAGGUGAGAAUGGUAAAAGUAUAAACUUAUAGUCUAAAAUUAUGUCUUGCUGAUGCCUUAUCUCAGUUCUACAUAUUUUCAUUCCAAGAUACCUUUCCUGCUGGUGAAUGAUGCCUUUGUUGAUUGAAAGUUGAGAAAGGAUUCACACGUGUUAUUAUAUUUGCUUGUUGAAUUCUUAUUUGAUUCUUAUAUAUAUGUGCAACCUAGCACUUUAGGAAUGCAUGUAGGCUUUGAUGUAAAUGAAGUCUGAUGACCACCAGGGAGCUGUACCUGCGCUUGGUAGUUUAUUGUGCGCCUUAGCUUGUCUUUCAGUGUAUAUUUCAUAUUUUCCUGCACAACAAGUUUAGUGUGAAGAUAAGUUAUGCACAGGCUCCAUAAGUUCCUAAGUUCUGAAGCUCAGUUCCAUUUUACUACUCAAUACUUAUUUUUUUAUUGGUUAUAUUUGUUAACUGGCUAAUGUAUCUCCAUCUUAUAGUCGUGUUCCUUGUCCUACUCCUAUGGCUUAAUCUAGAAUACCAGUGCAUGAUUGUAGUGGCACGGCAUGUAUCAACCAUUGGGAAGUCAGAAAGUUAGGUCCUCGUUUGUUUGUUCCAACUAAAUUGUCUCUGGCCUGUUACAUCAGCAUCUGCAUAAAUAAUUAUGUUUGGAAGCUUUAAUCAAAGGCCUGACUGUUGCAUACAUUCUUUUAAUAAUAUUUUUAAGUGGUGAACUCUUUUCCAUAACACAUUAUUGCUGAUUAGUUUAAGUUCUUUUUAUGCAUUGGGGACUGAGGAAGGUCUGGAACUGGAUGAAAAACUCAAAAAAAGCCCAUAUUCCUGAUAAUCGGUGAACUGGAAGAUGCUCCACAGGAAGAGGAGAACAAAUGAUAGGUCCUGUUGGUGAUUUAUGGUCUGAUACUGCAUAGGUAAUUAAGGUAGUAAAUAUGUGGCCGAGUGCAGCCUCACCUGCAUACAUCUCCCGACGAAAUAGCUGAAUGCCUGUAGAACAUUUGGACGAUUGAUUCUGUUGUCUAGACCAUGCUACGCUACUUUCUAUAUCUUUUAGGUAUAAAUUGAUCUUCAUUUUUCAAUUCAUCGUGAAAAAGAGUUCACAUAUUUGCCAAUAAAACAACAGGUACCUCACCUAUUGAUGGAGCACAACAGGAAAUUUGUCGCUAAAUUUAUCUACGCUGCUAUAGCAUUUUGCCUCUAAACAAAACAACAGUUGUAUAAUUGCAGCAUAGUGUUUAAUCUCUGAUUUUAUGAAAGAUAGCUUGCUAUUGUUUGGUUUCACAUAAAAAGGAACUUUGCUUCAAGUUAAGCUAUCUGAAACAUGUGUUCCUGGAGUUUGGCAUGUUUGAAACAAGCUCCUUUGCUUUAACUUGACAAGCUUUUUUGCUGUGGCUGAACAACACAUACAUUUUCUCUUUAUUCCUGCUGCAACGAGGAAGAGACGACUGUCUGCUGCAGCUGCAUGAAUCUUGGUUUAGUUGUUGUCUUGCCUGGUGUGUGUGCAAAGCAUUACAAAGAUCAUUUCCAGCUACAGCAAGAAGGAUUCAUCUUUGCUGUUUGCGGCUGGCUGAAGCUUGAUUUUGUUGGCCCUUCCUCUUGUGUGUUUGCUAAGACUUGCAAAGGCUGCUAAUCUUGAGAUCGAUGUGGAUGUGCCUGAUAAUUUUGCAACCAAGACACACAAGAGCACUACAAGGAAGAGGUAAUGAAUAUUGCCCAUGCAGUAUAAACAGGCAAACAAGGAUGAUCAGGAUGGUCACCGCAAGAAGAGGAUAUCCUCCUUUUUGUUUAUCAGAUGCAACCACCUGCUUUCUACUUGACCCGUUCAGAGCCUGUGUCAAACAGCUAGAUGUAUUUUUAAAAAAUUUCAUGGCUGCAAACUGUGUAAUCUUCAUUUUGGAUUUCUAAAUAUUGUUUAGUACUUUGCAUGCUUAUUUAGAUCAAUAUGCAGACUACUAGCUGAGAUAUUUGGUAGCUGUAAUAUAUGAUUAGACACAGCCUAACAGGCUGUGAAGGCAACACAGUCAAUGCCCAUGCUGAAGGGACUAAACUGAUUUGGCUUGUGAAACAGCGACUUCUAUUAAGAUACUGCAGUGCAUCCAUUUUUACUUUUCAAA